rfam:Acanthamoeba castellanii str. Neff unplaced genomic scaffold scf7180000084632, whole genome shotgun sequence.
GGGCGGAUGGCCGAGCGGUCUAAGGCGACAGUUUAAGGCACUGUUAUCUUCGGAUGCGUGGGUUCAAAUCCCACUCCGCUCA